GACGAACGCUGGCGGCGUGCUUAACACAUGCAAGUCGAACGCUGAAGCUCAGCUUUUGUUGGGUGGAUGAGUGGCGAACGGGUGAGUAACACGUGAGUAACCUGCCCCCUUCUUUGGGAUAACGCCCGGAAACGGGUGCUAAUACUGGAUAUUCACUGGUCUUCGCAUGGGGGUUGGUGGAAAGGGUUUUUCUGGUGGGGGAUGGGCUCGCGGCCUAUCAGCUUGUUGGUGGGGUGAUGGCCUACCAAGGCUUUGACGGGUAGCCGGCCUGAGAGGGUGACCGGUCACAUUGGGACGGAGAUACGGCCGAGAAUCCUACGGGAGGCAGCAGUGGGGAAUAUUGCGCAAUGGGCGCAAGCCUGAUGCAGCGACGCCGCGUGAGGGAUGGGGGCCGUCGGGUUGUGAACCUCUUUCGCUCAUGGUCAAGCCGCAACAAUGGUUGUGGUGAGGGUAGUGGGUAAAGAAGCGCCGGCUAACUACGUG
rnacentral:rRNA from 1 species